GAGCGAGCCCCGCUCCGCACACACCCGUCCACAGACCCGACUCUCGGCACCUCUCAGCACCAUGAGAGCCGCACCGCUGCUGCUACUCGGACUGGCCGCCCUGCUGGCCGCCAGUGACGCCCAGGGCACGGCCAACUGUGACCUCGGUGACCCAGCCGGCCUGAGCGACUGCAUCAAACAGCUGCUGGUCGAGGCGCGGCCCAAGGUGGCCCAGGAGGCCGACCCUCUCCGUCUGCCCAACAACCGGGACGGCGACGUCGAGCUGUCCAACAUCCGAGUCCACGGCAUCUCCGGCUACAGCGUCGACGGCCUGUCGGUGUCGUUCCCCUCCGAUCAGCAGAUCGCCGUCAGGGCCACCAUCAGCUGGCCGCACAUCAACGGCAAGCUCGACGCCAAGAUCCGCAAGUGCAAGAAGGUCAUCUUCAAGAAGGUGUGCGUCUCCGUGCGCGGCCGACCCGAGGUGCGCGUCGGCCGCACGGUCGGCUCUCUCACCACCACCCUCAACGUGCACGUGGGCGGUGACGGCCGGAUCACGGUCACCGCCAGCGGCACCAGGGUCUCCCUCAACCUGGCCAGCAUCCGCGUCAAGGCCAACCUGCGCGGCGCCAUCGGCUUCUUCAACCGGCUCUUCGGAGAUCCGGCCAGCAAGAUCACCACCAAGCUGGCCAACAAGUGGUGGGGCAAGAACAAGGGCAAGAUCGAGGGCAAGGCGAGGGACGCGCUGGACAAGGCGGUCCGCGAGAAGGUGGCCGUUCACCUGGCGCGGCUGCUGAAAAUCUGAGCGGACAGCGGCGGUCAGCCAUGGCAUGGCACGUGCUGCUGAAAAUCUGAGCGGACAGCGGCGGUCAGCAAUGGCAUGACACGUGCUGCGUUUCCCACAGGUGCUUCUCGCAAGGUAGAGAUGGUUCCCGCUUUGUUUCAUUGACGUUGUUGACCUGCAAGUUGCAGCAAUGCAACUUUAUGACAAUCGAGCUUUAAUGGAUGAUCGCUGAGCAUUGUAUCAUUUAAGCUUUAAACUUUUUGGUGGAAUAUGCGUUGGAAUAUGAGUUGGCGCAUUGUUAAGUGACGAGUGAAUUAAGACAUUUUUAAACAAUACAUGACUGUGUGGAA